rnacentral:rRNA from 1 species
UACGUAGGGGGCAAGCGUUAUCCGGAUUUACCGGGUGUAAAGGGAGCGUAGACGGUAAUGUAAGUCUGAUGUGAAAGCCCGGGGCUCAACCCCGGGACUGCAUUGGAAACUAUGUAACUAGAGUACCGGAGAGGUAAGCGGAAUUCCUAGUGUAGCGGUGAAAUGCGUAGAUAUUAGGAGGAACACCAGUGGCGAAGGCGGCUUACUGGACGGAAACUGACGUUGAGGCUCGAAAGCGUGGGGAGCAAACAGG